UCACCCUUCUUUUGCUUGCACAAGUUACAAGCAAACGUGGAAUGCGUUCAUCACUUCAUCCCAGAGUUGUUUCAGUUUCUAAGUAUAUGAAACUGUUACUAUACUGCUUGCUGUUUCUUCUUGCAAAGUUAACCUACAGCUGCAGUACCUGGCUUUUAAAAAAGAUCACGUUGAACUUUGGAGGGAGACUUGGGCAGCGUGUGAAAAUGCCAGAAGAAUUUCCUGUGAUUCAGUCAGAAUUCUGCAUCAAGAAGUUUUUCUGGUUUUCCUUUGGUUGGCAACACAGAUUGAAUUGUUGAAAAAAGAAAAGCCCAGACUUAAAUUAUUUUAGUUACUGAUGGUUCCUAGUACAGGAAGGAGUUUGACAUCUUUGACCCAGAAAGUCACUUGGAAAUUACCAAAAAUUGAAAAAGCAGACCAUUUAUAGUAGAACCAGAAAGUUGGCAGACUUACCAUUACUAAGCUGGAUUAGCUCUCACAUUUUUUCUGGUGUUCUCUACAUCUGCAGAAUUGCCUGUUGAAGCAACUUCUGUUAGCAACAGCACUCCCAAAACAAGUAGUUGUAAUCAGCAUUUUAACAAAUAGUUAUGGCUAUCUCUGCAUAUUUUAAAAUUAUAAUUACACAGCAAAAAUUUUAAAAAAUAAAAGAUCUUCUUUUUAUAUGCUGUGUAAGUGGGCUUAUUUUGAAUUAGCUUGGAAGGCUAGUAAUUUCUUGAGUAGUUUGAUACUACAUAAAUUAAUUGAAGAAAAUCCUAAAUCGCCUGGUCAAGCUUUACUGACCUCUUAGUGGUUUUUAAAUAGUUGUAAUUUAUCAGUAAUAGCCUGAAACAGUAGCCUCAUGCCAAAACAGCAUGUAAAAUAUGCAUUUCUAGCAAACUUUAAUUUUA